rnacentral:rRNA from 1 species
AGCAGCCGCGGUAAUUCCAGCUCCAAUAGCGUAUAUUAAAGUUGCUGCAGUUAAAAAGCUCGUAGUUGAAUUUCGGGAUCAAUAUGUUGGUCGUGCCUCGGUACGUACUAGCUUAUUGGUUUCUCCCUUCUGACGAACCAUGAUGUCAUUUAUUUGGUGUUAUGGGGAAUCAGGACUGUUACUUUGAAAAAAUUAGAGUGUUUAAAGCAGGCUUACGCUUGAAUACAUUAGCAUGGAAUAAUGAAAUAGGACGUUUGAUUCUAUUUUGUUGGUUUCUAGGAUCGACGUAAUGAUUAAUAGGGAUAGUUGGGGGCAUUAGUAUUCAAUUGUCAGAGGUGAAAUUCUUGGAUUUAUUGAAGACUAACUACUGCGAAAGCAUUUGCCAAGGAUGUUUUCAUUAAUCAAGAACGAAAGUUAGGGGAUCGAAGACGAUCAGAUACCGUCGUAGUCUUAACCAUAAACUAUGCCGACUAGGGAUCGGAUGAUGUUAAUUUUUAAUGUACUCAUUCGGCGCCUUAAC